CCCUUAGAUGUUCUGGGCCGCACGCGCGCUACACUGAUGCAUUCAACGAGUCUAAAACCUGCUCUGAUAGGGGUGGGUAAUCUUUUGAAUGUGCAUCGUGAUUGGGAUAGAUGAUUGCAAUUUUUCAUCUUCAACGAGGAAUGCCUAGUAGACGCAAGUCAUCAGCUUGCAUUGAUUACGUCCCUGCCCUUUGUACACACCGCCCGUCGCUCCUACCGAUUGAAUGAUCAGAUGAAUAUCAUGGAUUGAGGAUGCAAGUAGGUUAGCCUAUCUUCAUCUUCGAGAAGUGAAGUAAAUCUUAUCAUUUAGAGGAAGGAGAAGUCGUAACA
rnacentral:rRNA from 1 species